rnacentral:lncRNA from 1 species
AUGAAGAGGACCCAAUCUGAAAUCCUAGCAGGCUUGCAGAGACAGCAUGCCAGCUGCAAAUAUGCAGACUUUGGGCUGACAGCAUUGAAAAUAAUGGCCAUGGACAACAGCUAGGGUCCCAGUGACAAACAUGCAGACAGACUGCAGAAAAGAAUUGGUGCAGAUGAGAAAACUUAGUUAUCCUGUUGAUUGAUGAGUAUUAGAAAACUUGAAAUUGCAACAGUAAUUUUUGUAUCAUCACAAUACAUUAAAGCUCUCUGGGCUUUUCUUUACAGGUUUCAGUGGACAAGAUCUGUAAAAGGAAAAAGGAACACAAUUCACUAGAAAACAGUUAUUUAGGUACAAUAAUUUGUACUUUAUGUCAUAUUAUAAUGCUUGCCAGAGGAAGAGAGAGUGAAUGUGUAUCUUCAGUCUCUAACUUCUGUUAAUUGAGGCAUGUCAAUAACAUGAGAAACUGCAGCAAAAUCGGAAAUCCAAAGCAGUCAAGACUUUUCUUCAUGAUUACAUACUGCUGUGUGAAGAUACAAUGCUUUUUUCAGACAGAAAUUUGUAAGGAGAAGACUGAUUACACUACCUCUUGUUGA